CAACUUGCAAGAAUCAAAAAUUUUACAUAAAACUUAAUAAUAAUGUAGAAAUAUAUUUCAAAUACUCAAAUUAUAUUACUAAUCCAAUUAUAUUAUAAUAUUUUUUAAAUAAAAAUAAAAUACAUCAAAAAAAUUUUAAAUCAAAAUCUUUCUCGUCAAGCAUCUCGUCAUCACUAGGAGGGGCUGGAGCAUGAGCUAGAGGGGCUAG
rnacentral:lncRNA from 1 species